AUUGAACGCUGGCGGCAGGCCUAACACAUGCAAGUCGAACGAGUGGCGGACGGGUGAGUAAUGUCUGGGAAACUGCCUUAUGGAGGGGGAUAACUACUGGAAACGGUAGCUAAUACCGCAUACCAUCGGAUGUGCCCAGAUGGGAUUAGCUAGUUGGUGGGGUAACGGCUCACCUAGGCGACGAUCCCUAGCUGGUCUGAGAGGAUGACCAGCCAAACUGAAACUGAGACACGGUCCAGACUCCUACGGGAGGCAGCAGUGGGGAAUAUUGCGCAAUGGGCGCAAGCCUGAGGCAGCCAUGCCGCGUGUAUGAAGAAGGCCUUCGGGUUGUAAAGUACUUUCAGCGGGGAGGCGUUACCCGCAGAAGAAGCACCGGCUAACUCCGUGCCAGCAGCCGCGGUAAUUC
rnacentral:rRNA from 1 species